rnacentral:rRNA from 1 species
UGCUUACACAUGCAAGUCGAGCGGUAAGGCCCUUCGGGGUACACGAGCGGCGAACGGGUGAGUAACACGUGGGUGAUCUGCCUUGCACUUCGGGAUAAGCCUGGGAAACCGGGUCUAAUACCGGAUAUGACCANGAGAUGCAUGUCUUGUGGUGGAAAGAUUUAUCGGUGCGAGAUGGGCCCGCGGCCUAUCAGCUUGUUGGUGAGGUAACGGCUCACCAAGGCGACGACGGGUAGCCGACCUGAGAGGGUGACCGGCCACACUGGGACUGAGACACGGCCCAGACUCCUACGGGAGGCAGCAGUGGGGAAUAUUGCACAAUGGGCGAAAGCCUGAUGCAGCGACGCCGCGUGCGGGAUGACGGCCUUCGGGUUGUAAACCGCUUUUGACAGGGACGAAGCGCAAGUGACUGUACCUGUAGAAUAAGGACCGGCCAACUACGUGCCAGCAGCCGCGGUAAUACGUAGGGUCCGAGCGUUGUCCGGAAUUACUGGGCGUAAAGAGCUUGUAGGCGGUUCGUCGCGUCGUUUGUGAAAACUUGGGGCUCAACCUUAAGCUUGCAGGCGAUACGGGCGGACUAGAGUACUUCAGGGGAGACUGGAAUUCCUGGUGUAGCGGUGAAAUGCGCAGAUAUCAGGAGGAACACCGGUGGCGAAGGCGGGUCUCUGGGAAGUAACUGACGCUGAGAAGCGAAAGCAUGGGUAGCAAACAGGAUUAGAUACCCUGGUAGUCCAUGCCGUAAACGGUGGGUACUAGGUGUGGGGCUCCUU